GCUCUUCACACGGGUACCACGAAUACCCAGUGGCCUCCUGAAGACAGAGUCCGGUCUCACAUUCCCCAGCUUCCUGUGAGGCUCCCCAGAAAAUGCAAAUUCAAUCGCAGGGUACCUGGGCUGAUGUCUCCCCUCCUAUUUCUGACUUUGCCCUUUGGAGCCUGAGGAGCAAGGGUAGAAUGAGGAUAGUGAGGUUCUUCAGAGGCAAUUAGGAGGUCACAGCGCAGAAACGGCAAGAAAUGUCAGGACAACUACAGAUGUGAAGGCUGGGAGGGGGCCUCCUUCCCCCUGAGGUCCCCAAAGGUAUUUGUCUCCAUCCAGAAACUGAGGGGCAUUUGUCUCUAUCCAGGACUCGGGGGGCAUCCUUCUCCAUCCAGGGCUGGAGUGUGUCCUUCUCCUUCCAGGAUAGGGGGACAUCCUUCUCCAUCCAUGAUUCAGGGUUCAUCCUUCUCUAUCCAGGACUGGGGUUCAUCCUUCUCCAUCUAGGACUGGAGGGACAUCCUUCUCCAUCCAGGACUGAGGGUCAUCCUUCUCCAUGCAGUACCUGAGGGACAUCCUUCUCCACCCAGGACCUGAGGACGUCCUUCUCUGUGCUCCCUUGGGACUGCACCCUUUCCUGGGCCAUCCUUCAGAAUGCCAGGCUGUCACUUGUUGUGGAUUGAAUUCUAGCAUCUUAUCUCUAUUCUAGGUGAGUCCCUUCACAUUUAUAGUGAUUUACCAUUUAAUCAACUGUGCCAUUUUCCCCAAAAUAUGUGGGGUUUGGUUUUUGUUCUUAACUUCUAUUAAUUCUUUGGUUCCCACCUCCAGUUUUUUUGUAAUUUCUUUUGCAACCUAGUAUGGUCUCAUUUGGUAAGUAUCACCAUGUAUUAGAAAAUAAUGUAUGUUCAGUAUUUGUUGUGAUUUUUAAACCUUUAAUACUCAUAAGAUUUUUGUGUAUUUUCCAUUUAAUUUCAGAAGUACAAUCCCAGUUUUCCUCUCUCGAUCUCCUCCCAUUAGUCUCCCUGUGUGUCCUGGAGGUGAGGCCAGCAUUGGACUUAACCCUGUGUCACCUGCUUGGUUCUAUUGCUCACGUGUGGCAUCCAUUCUGUUGUUUAUUAUUUCUUCCUUAAAUUGUAUUUGAACUAAGAUGAAUUUUGCUAUAGCAACUUGCUUUCUGUGAAUAUUUACUUAGUGGUUUCAUCCAUUCUUUUUUGCCCUUAAUUUGAAAGUGCUGCUUUGCUAUUGAUAAUUUUGUAUUUUAAUAUGUGUGGUUAAUCCCUCUGUGUUUGGUAGGAAAAAGUGAUAGAUUUGAACUUAUUUCUAUCAUGUGAUUUUGGAUUUUGGAUUUGCAAAACUUUACCCUUGAUUCUCUUUUCCUUUCUCCAGACUCACUUUCAAUUGACAUGUCCUUUUUCACUUCCUUCCUGUGCUGGUUUGUAGGUUUUCCAGCCUAUUUACCUUUCUUUAGUGUCCUACUUUUUAAGAUAAUUCUUAAAUUAUCGACUAAUAAUUUUAAGCAUAUUGGAUUUGCGGUUUUCUCCCAGCGCUCUAGUUAUAAUCUCUUCUAUCUUGUUGUUUUAUUGUUAUUUUUCCAUUGAUUCCAGAGACGUAGGUAUUAGAAUUGUCAAAUUGUGAAUUCAAGCAUUCACCCUUUAAAUUUGGUUAUUUUUGCUUCCUGUAUUUUGUUAUUUAGUAUCAGGUGCAUGCAUGCGUAUGAUCAUUAGGUUUUCUAAGCAAAAGGACUCAUUCAUAUGAAAUGUCCUUCUCUGUCCCUGGCGAUGCUAGUCCUUCCUGCCGUCUGUCUCGUCUGCCAUCCGUACACCUGUGCAGCCUCCUGAUAACAAGCAUUUCUGUGGUAUACAUUUGUCCGUCUUUUCAGUUUGAAUCUAUUUGUAUCUUUAUCUCGAAAGAACGUUUCCUUGUAAAAGCCUAUGGAGGCUUUCUUUUCACCUACACUGACGGUCUCUUUUUCAGUGGCAGUGUUCAGUCAGUACAGAUCUGCUAUUCGUGUGGUUGGGUUUAAGUUGGCUCCUGAACCUGGUAUUUCCUCUGUUCCACUUUCCUGGUCUUCUGGAUUAUCGUAGUUUUGCUUUGUUUGUUUGUUUAAUAAGGGUUUUUUUGUUUUUUUUUUUUUUAGUAUGGAUUUUGUAACUUGUUUUUUUUAACUAUGACUUCUUCUUUUAUUUAUUUUCAGUGAGUCAUUUAGAAAUUAAAAUAUACUUAAAGUCUCAUAUUAAAUAAAGAUCAUAGCAUUUUAUGUAAA